rnacentral:rRNA from 1 species
AUACGUAGGUGGCAAGCGUUGUCCGGAAUUAUUGGGCGUAAAGCGCGCGCAGGUGGUUCCUUAAGUCUGAUGUGAAAGCCCCCGGCUCAACCGGGGAGGGUCAUUGGAAACUGGGGAACUUGAGUGCAGAAGAGGAUAGUGGAAUUCCAAGUGUAGAGGUGACAUGCGUAGAGAUUUGGAGGAACACCAGUGGCGAAGGCGACUGUCUGGUCUGUAACUGACACUGAGGCGCGAAAGCGUGGGGAGCAAACAGGAUUAGAUACCCUGGUAGUCCACGCCGUAAACGAUGAGUGCUAAGUGUUGGGGGGUUUCCGCCCCUCAGUGCUGCAGCUAACGCAUUAAGCACUCCGCCUGGGGAGUACGGUCGCAAGACUGAAACUCAAAUGAAUCGACGGGG